AUUGAACGCUGGCGGCAUGCCUUACACAUGCAAGUCGAACGGUAACAGGUCUUCGGAUGCUGACGAGUGGCGAACGGGUGAGUAAUACAUCGGAACGUGCCUAGUAGUGGGGGAUAACUACUCGAAAGAGUGGCUAAUACCGCAUGAGAUCUACGGAUGAAAGCAGGGGAUCGCAAGACCUUGUGCUACUAGAGCGGCCGAUGGCAGAUUAGGUAGUUGGUGGGAUAAAAGCUUACCAAGCCGACGAUCUGUAGCUGGUCUGAGAGGACGAUCAGCGACACUGGGACUGAGACACGGCCCAGACGCGUACGGGAGGAAGCAGUGGGGAAUUUUGGACAAUGGGCGCAAGCCUGAUCCAGCAAUGCCGCGUGCAGGAUGAAGGCCUUCGGGUUGUAAACUGCUUUUGUACGGAACGAAAAGCCCUGGGUUAAUACCCUGGGGUCAUGACGGUACCGUAAGAAUAAGCACCGGCUAACUACGUGCCAGCCGCCGCAGUAA
rnacentral:rRNA from 1 species